GGCGGACGGGUGAGUAAUGUCUGGGAAACUGCCUGAUGGAGGGGGAUAACUACUGGAAACGGUAGCUAAUACCGCAUAACGUCGCAAGACCAAGGGGGGGACCUUCGGGCCUCUUGCCAUCAGAUGUGCCCAGAUGGGAUUAGCUAGUAGGUGGGGUAACGGCUCACCUAGGCGACAAUCCCUAGCUGGUCUGAGAGGAUGACCAGCCACACUGGAACUGAGACACGGUCCAGACUCCUACGGGAGGCAGCAUG
rnacentral:rRNA from 1 species